rnacentral:misc_RNA from 1 species
CGAGGAUUUAGAUUGUUUCUUUUUGUGAAGUGUGCUUGAUGCUUUAGAGAUAAAUUAAUACAACAAUAAAAUGUAAAGAAUUAAAUUUAAGGAAAAACAGAAAUGGGUCGGUCAAAAUUUCCCGGAAAACCAUCUAAACAUAUACAUAGAAAGAGGGUAAAUGUUCUUCCACCGACAGGGGAAAUAACCAACAUUGAAUAUAAUACUUCAGUGAUAGUUGGUUCUGUUGUAGAAAACAAACAGGAUGAAGACUUGACUGAAAGUGAUAGUGAAAGUGCACCCCCUGAAAAUGCUUUGAAAAAAAGCGUUUCAAUCCGAAGAAGACUGACUAGGAAGAGGAACUUAAAUUCCUCGUUAAGAAAUAAAAAUGUAACGAAACGGACAUUGUUGUCAAAAAUGUGCACGAAAAGUUCUGUAAAAACGAAAUUAAAAUCAACCUUGAAUCAAAAAGCAGUCCACACUUGUAAUGGAUCGUGUUGCAAUAAAGUGUCAAAAGAAACAACUAAUCUUGUUGGGAAAUUUGUGUUGCCAACGAGAAGCGUUCAUUCUUCGAGGGUAAUAAAACCAAACAAAAGAUUUAUUAGUGAUAUCAACGAAGCAGUAACUUUGAAAAAGAAGGUCUCAAUUGUUAAAAGACAUUGUGUGAAACAGGAAGAUGAUAAGGCUAAGUUUUUGGAAUCUGGCAGCUUAAAUGGUGAUAAAACAACUUUUACAAACGGACAUAGGGUAGUAUUAAGACAGGCCAGGCUUAAAAUUCCCAAUCAGAUAGGAUUACAAGGCCCCUUUUCAACGAAACCUAAUUCAUCUCCAGGUGCAGUUACGUGUGGUGUGUGUGGAGCAAUUAGAUUCUACAGAUUUAUCAAGCAAGCUAGAAAGUUCAACAUUUAUAGCUGCGAAUCAUGUAGAAAAUUUAUUGCACGGAUGAUAAAAAGACAAGCAUGUGGAAACGAAAAUAAUCAAAUAACUUUGGUGUGUAAUAAAGGGCAAGGGAAUUGCCUUUUACCUCCCGUAGUAAGAAACCAGCAAUGGAAGUUAAACAAGUGUACUUAUAGGGCAAAAUGCUCAGCUUGUUGGCUUAAAUUGUGUGUUCGUGCAUUCUACUUACCGCCCUCUCUAAAACAAGGCCUUAGUUUGAUGUUGCCAAAAUAUAUGCAAGGUUUGGACGUUUCUUUAAGUAACACUCAAUCCCCAUCAUUAUGGCAAGCAAACGUAGAAACAAAAUUGGUAAUAGAAAAGCCACAAGAAGCAACCAUGAAGAAAAGGCCUGUGAGGUCCAAGAAUCCGAAAUCUCAAGUUAUAGCUGUUCCCUCUGGUACUAACUCUGAUAUUAAGAGACAGAAAAUUGAUUUAAAAGGGCCCAGAGUGAAACACGUUUGUCGUAGUGCUUCAAUAGUAUUAGGGCAGCCAUUUGCCAUUUUUCCCGAAGGUGAAAAGAAAUGUGAUAAUCAGGAACAAGAAAAUGAUAUUAAAAUAGCUGAGGACAAGACAGCUAGUGAUAAAAGCAUAAAUGAAGUUAAAAGUACUGUUUUCUGGAAAAAUGAUUCAAUACCUAGUGAACCAGAGUCCAGUUGCAGUGAUGGGUCUUCUAAAAACAGCUCCAGUGAAUCUGCCGACUUUACCAAGAGGGAAAGGCUAUUAAGAAAUGUCUCCACUUUGCAAAGUUCUAUACAGCCUAAAAGUGACAGGAAGAGGAAUCUCGUAGACCCACAAACAGCCAUACUAAUCGAUUUCUGGGAUGGAUUCGACCCAGAAGUAGUAUCUCAAUAUGGAUUCUGCAUAAUCGGAUCUGAGCGAUUUACCAUGCCGUCUAUAUGCUUUCUUUGCGGAAGCGCCGGAAAAGAAUCCAUGUUAUACUGCUCCAUUUGUUGCGAACCUUAUCAUAGUUUCUGCUUGGAGCAAUUUCAAACCGUGCCUAUCGAUAAAGGCUUGAAGUAUUACACAUGGAUAUGUCCUAGAUGUACGACAUGCAACGAAUGUAAUAAAGUUGACAGGCUAAAAGUUAACUGUCAGAAAUGUUUAAAAUCAUAUCACCCGGAAUGUUUUAAUUCUAAAUGGAAUAGCGAGGAUAAACCGUCGGUUUGUUCAAAAUGUGUGAAAUGCAAAAGUUGUGGAACACCAAACAUAACAAAAUUUGUUGGUAACUUGCCUUUAUGCAUGAGCUGUUUUAAAUACCGGAAAAUGGGAAAAUUUUGCCCUAUUUGUCAACAUUGCUACGACGAAAAUGAUUGUUGUUCAAAGAUGAUGGAAUGUGCAAAAUGCUGUAAAUGGGUCCAUGCGAAUUGUGAGCAUUUGACUGAAGACCAGUAUCAAAUGUUGAGUGUUCUUCCUAAAUCUGCGGAGUAUUUGUGUCCUUCGUGCUGUAAUUCACCAGGGUCGAUCCCAAACUGGAAAAAAGCAAUAAUUCAUGAAAUGAAAUCCAGUUUUAUCCACAUCCUACGCCAGCUUAGCAAAAACAAAACGGCUAGAACCUUAUUAAAAUGGAGUCCGGUACAUGAUACAACUUCUUCUAAUAAAACAGUAACGCACGCUAGGAAACUUCAAUUUUUGGAUGGCAGUCUAGACAUGGACAAUAAUAAUAGUAGUAAGGAACCAUUAGAUAUCAACAAAAUCUAUUCGUUUGAAGAAAAUGAAAGAUACGAAGCUAGUCUUAACAAGGUUACGAAUACUCUCUCUGUAGUGGAUAUUAAGAACAAAUUAUUAUCAAAUGAGUACUCUUCAAUAACAGAAUUUAAUAAAGAAAUUGAGGAGUCGUUAAAAUCAACAAAUUCAGAAGAAUUACUAAAAAUUUAUCAAUCAAUAUUCCAUGAUGUAUUUCCAUGGUACCAAAAUGCUUCAAAGGAGGACUUAUCUGACGGCUUAAAAAAAGAUUCUGUCGGUGAAUCUCAAGACACAAUAGAUGACACAAUUCCCAGUUUGUUUAUAGAUCUAGCUCUACCUGUAAUCGAUACUCGAUUAUGCGUGUUCUGUAAAGGAAUAGGAGAUGGUUCAAGUUCGAAGGAAUCUAGACUUGUAUAUUGCGGGCAAAAUGAGUGGGUCCAUGCUAAUUGUGCUCUGUGGUCUUCUGAGGUCUACGAGGAGAUUGACGGAUCUUUACAAAACGUUCAAAACGCCCUGAAUAGGGGCAGAUUGAUUAGAUGCGCUCAUUGUAAACAAAAAGGGGCCAGCGUGGGUUGUUGUUUUAAAGGUUGCCAUGAAACGUACCAUUUUCCAUGUGCCAGGUCUUGUAAAUUAAAAUUUCUGUACGACAAAACCGUUUAUUGUUCAAGCCAUGAUUUGCCCAAAAAUAGUCACAUUAUCUCUCUAGAAAAAGAAUUUGAUAUUGAUAGGUCUGUGUUUGUUGAAGUUGACCAGAAGAAAAGAAAAUACUCGGCUGAAAUAGAUAAAACCACUUUUAUGAUUGGAUCUUUAUGCAUCACAAAUCUCGGUAAAAUUGAUCCUAUCAUUUCUGACACGACUGAGUGUAUCAUUCCUAUAGGCUUUGCUUGCACAAAAAUGUUUUGGUCUACUACCGAGCCUUGGAAGUUGGUACCUUAUACAGUGACGGUAUCAGUCAAGAACUACAACAGUAAUACUCUAAUUAUAGAUAGGAAUUUCACGAUAGAUCAUUCACGAGAUAAAUUAGUUGUGGAAAAAAUGCUGAGGGAAAUAAAUAUUUGGCAAAGGGAUUUAGACAGGAAGGUUUCCGACAUUGACUCUGAAGAUGACGAAGAACAACGUACAGUACUCCUGUCGCCAGAGCUUACUGACGCUAUUUUAGAAGAGUUGCCGCAUGAUCUUUUAGAUGGAAUUUCCGUUCAAGACAUUUUCCCUAAAUUUUCUUAUGAUGAAUUAUUGGACUACAAACACGAUUUAAACCUCAGUGAAUCAUACAAGAGAUCAGACAUUGAUGAGGACUUAGAUGUGGACAUGAAAAAUAAGGAAUAUAAAAAGAAUAAAAUUGAUGCCUUAUCCAAGACACGUGCGACUUCCAAAUCUUGCAGCCUAACUCUGAGUUGUAAGUUGGAUAGUUCCUUAUCUCCCUCUGUAAAGAAAAGAAAAAUUGCCACCACAAGGGAGACUAAUGUCAUGUACCAAUUACUGCAAGUUGAUGGUAACCUUGAUGAUUGUAGUUCCAGCGAAUGUGGAUCUCCUUCGGAAGUAACUGGUACGAAUGUCUGGGGGAGUUAUAUAUCCGAAGAACCAGUGACUUGUGAUAAAUGUCAAUCUACUUAUAGAACACAAGCUAGUUAUGCGAGACAUUUAGAGUCCUGUGAGAGUUUUUCCGCCAGUGACGAUGAUUCAGAAUUAAAUGUAGAACAGGAGAUCCUACCUACAUAUACUAAUUCGAACACAAAUUUUAUCGAUAAUCAAGUGGUGGUAGACGUCAACGAACCAGUGCUUAUUUCUUCGUUUGAAUCAUAUCAAAGCGAAAUCCACACAUCAGUUCUUAAUACUCAAAGCUUUGUUACAUCCAAGUCUUCUUCCGAAGUAGUACCUUCUGAAAUAAUUAUCCCAAGUAUCUCCCAAGCAACCGAGCACAAACCUGUACUUCACUCUCUAUCAGUUAAUGCUGUGACACCACUUACAUUAGAAACAUCACAACCCGAGCAAACGUUUUCCAUCAAUCAACCGACCAUUAUAAACGAUCCUGGCGUGUCAGUGCAUACGAACCAAGCCCAAUUCUGUGUAAAUCAAACUGUGCCUUUAUGUGUAAAUCAACCCAUUACUUUACAACAGAACAACAUUCAAGUCAACCCUUCAACAUACUCCGGAAAUCAAGUCUCAUUCAUAAACCCCAAUGCCUCUAUAUCUAUAAACUCGGUUCAGCCUACGAAUUCGGCUCAAUUAAACCAACAACAAUUAGAUUUUCAAACUCCCUCAGUCACGAUUCAACCAGUUUCUUACAAUAAUAUUAUUAACGUAGGAUCUCAAAAUCAGUUUACUCUGAAUGGUAAAUUGAUCCAAAACCCAGUAUUACAGGCUGUUAAUGUCCAAGGUGCUCAAUGGGUUCGACAAGUUGCGAAACCGACGAUAGUCACACAGAAAACUGUGAAGCCUAGAAAUCGGAGUCGUGCAUUAGCAGCUAGGCGUAACCAGUGUGAACAAGGAGCGAUUAUUCUUCCUCAAAACUCUAGCCAAGUAAUAGUCCAACAACUGCCGUCCACGAGUUAUGUUCCAUUUGUCGAUGCCUUUCAGCAACCAGGACAAAACAUACAAUACGUCACAACCCUCGCCCCUCAAGUUAACACUGUGCCUGCUCAGUCUAUAGUACAAAUACAACCGGAUACGAAUAUAAUAAGCAUAGUUCCUGGUUUGCAACAAGCCAUGUACAUACAACAACCCAGAGUGGAGAAUCAGUUGGUCGUAGACAGCAACGGUACACUUGGUUGGUCUCAGCAGCAAACAGUCCAACCAGUCUACUACGGAUUCGAAACUAUUGUACAAAACACUGUGAUGCAAUCACAACAGUUCCUGCCAACAACGAUGCCUGGUGUAUUAACGGCGAACAGUAGUUAUUCAACAACUACGCAAGUAUUUCAGACUAGUAAGUUAGAGCCUGUGUUGGAUGUGACAUCAAAUAGUUUUGUGCUGGUUAAUCCCGGACAACUGGUGAAUUCACAGCCCAUAGUUAACACCCAACCCAUUGUUAAUUCGCAACAAAUAGUUAAUACUCAACCUCAGUCAAUUAUCAACUCACAGACCAUGGUCCCACAGCAGGUCGUUAGUCAACAACCUGUUAUAAAUUCACAGAUAGUUAGCCAGCAACCUAUAGUCAGUACUCAGCCAGUAAUCAAUACGCAACCAGUAGUCAAUAGUCAGCCUGUAGUCCAUACGCAACCUGCAGUUAAUUCACAGCCCUUUAUCAACUCACAACCGAUAGUCAACUCACAAGCCAUCGUCAAUUCACAGCAGAUAGUUAACUCACAACCGGUAAUACCAUCACAGCAACUAGAAAGCACUCACAACACCCAUCACCUGACUGCAUCACACGAAGCAGACCCUUUCAUAAACACUCCUACCGUCACAUCUCCACCUAGUAUUGUUACCCCUAGACCUGUAGAGCUCCAGCAAGUCCAAAAUAUUAAAAUAAACACUAUAAACAACGUACUACCACAAAGGAAAGAAAUAAUUAGGCAAGAUAUUAAAAAAGAAAUGAGCAAUCUCCCUACAGGUAUCCAAAACAUAAGCAUGCUACCUCAGAAACAAGAACCGAAGAUAUCACACUCGCAAAUUCCAAUGAAAACAUCACCAAACACUAUGCCUAUACCUAUGCAACCUGUGAAAUAUAAUCAGGCACCAAACAAACCAGCAGCCCCUGCUUCAAGUCAGAUAUUACUUCCAACGGCUCCAUUUGUGUCUGAGCAACGUAUUCCUACUAACAUAGUCACUCCAAUUCCUAAACCACCGUCAGUUUCUAGUCGUCCCAUGAAUAGGGUUUUACCUAUGCUUACAAAUAAUACAAAAGGGCCUAAAAAGAAUUUUGAUGAUAAGUUGUUUUUUCCUGACGAGAAAAAGAAGCCUAUACAAAUCCAAAAAGUUUACGAGAUCAAAGCCAGUAAACCAAAAUUAGAGUCUAUUAAAACUGUUGAAGCAGAUUCCAAACUGAUUACACCCAUCUUUGAUCCCCUGCCAAUUCCUAAGCUAGCGGUAAUAAAAGAAGAAAAGAAAGAUAAACGCUUAAAGCAGGAACUGCCGCCUAAAACCUGUAAAAGUAUUGAAAGCGAAAGCGUGUUGAAACUGGAUCCUCCUAAAGUAGAGCCAAUUAAAAUAGAUCCUCCUGAAGAAAAAGAACCCAUUGUUGAAGAAAUCAAACCAGUUCAGACCACUAUAUCUGCGGAUACCAAACUGGACACUUCUCUAAAAUUAAUAUUUCAAAAGCAAGGACAAGAUGGAACCUACAAAAUCAGUUCUAAUUUUAGUACAAAACAACCUGUACAAGUGGUUCCUUUAAAACCGAUCAAAUCAAAUUAUACACCUCCCCCUUUAGAAAAACCAAAGAAAAAAGAAAUAAAGCCACUGGAACCUGAGAAAUUCGAGGAAAGUUCAAAAUCUCAACUAGCGAAAAAAGAGAGUGAAACUACUUCAAUAAUGUAUACAAUAGAAACCAGAGAGGGAUUCAAAUACACUUCAUCUUCAGUGGGCGAUCUUUGGUCCAGAGUUUUAGAAACUGUCCAAUCAGCUAGAGUAGCUCAUAAUAUGCCGCCUUUGCCUACAAAUAACGGUAGCCUACUCAAUUCACUACAAAUCUUAGGGUUUAAGUCAAACGGUUCAAAGUUUCUUCUAGAACAGUUACCAGGAGCUUCGAAAUGUACGAAAUAUCAAUCGGUUUUCAACUUCCCUCCGCAUGCCAGUGAAAUGGACAGUGAGUUAACACAAGAUCACAUUCACGGUGCUAUUCGUUGUGCACCAUACGAGAACAACAAUAAAGAACCUUACGACAUGUUUGGAUGGCUUUCGUCGCAACAUCGACAACCGGCAAAGAUAUCUUUGGAGAGCCAGGAACAAACAUCUAGGUUAUACGAUCCAUUUUGACAGAUAAAAGGGAAAAAUUGUACAACGCCAAAAACAUCGGUUGUUACAUGUUUCGGGUUGAUGAUAAUUUUGUUGUGGAUGCAACCAUGAAAGGAAAUGCUGCUAGGUUUAUUAACCAUUCUUGCGACCCUAACUGCUACUCGAAAGUAGUGGAAAUUUUAGGACAUAAACAUAUAAUAAUUUUCGCCUUACGACGAAUUCCUAGUGGGGAGGAGUUGACCUAUGAUUAUAAAUUCCCUUUUGAAGAAGAUAAGAUUCCAUGUACAUGUGGAUAUAA